rnacentral:piRNA from 1 species
UGUGGUCUGACCAGCGCCAAGGAGCAC